AUCGCUCCUUGGCCUUUUGGCUAAGAUCAAGGGUAUUAGUCUAGUACCUGUGAUCAGUUUGAUAUGGGAUGGCAUUUACUAUAGUAAAUGGAUAUUUGGAGCAGGGAGAUGGAAUAGGAGCUCUCUCCAUCCACUCCAGCAUUGACCUGCUAUUGCAGCAGGGCACCACCU
rnacentral:snRNA from 1 species